rnacentral:rRNA from 1 species
UACGGAGGAUGCGAGCGUUAUCCGGAUUUAUUGGGUUUAAAGGGUGCGCAGGCGGCACGGCAAGCCGGCGGUCAAAUCGCGGGGCUCAACCCCGCCCAGCCGUCGGAACUGCCGGGCUAGAGUGGGCGAGAAGUGCGCGGAAUGCGUGGUGUAGCGGUGAAAUGCAUAGAUAUCACGCAGAACUCCGAUUGCGAAGGCAGCGCACCGGCGCCCUACUGACGCUCAGGCACGAAAGCGUGGGGAUCAAACAGG